rnacentral:rRNA from 1 species
GACGAACGCUGGCGGCGUGCUUAACACAUGCAAGUCGAACGGAAAGGCCCUGCUUUUGUGGGGUGCUCGAGUGGCGAACGGGUGAGUAACACGUGAGUAACCUGCCCUUGACUUUGGGAUAACUUCAGGAAACUUGGGCUAAUAUCGGAUAGGAGCUCCUGCUGCAUGGUGGGGGUUGGAAAGUUUCGGCGGUUGGGGAUGGACUCGCGGCUUAUCAGCUUGUUGGUGGGGUAGUGGCUUACCAAGGCUUUGACGGGUAGCCGGCCUGAGAGGGUGACCGGCCACAAUGGGACUGAGAUACGGCCCAGACUCCAACGGGAGGCAGCAGUGGGGAAUAUUGCACAAUGGGCGGAAGCCAGAUGCAGAAACGCAGCGAGCGGGAUGACGGCCUUCGGGUUGUAAACCGCUUUCGACUGUGACGAAGAGUGAGUGACGGUAAUGGGUAAAGAAGCACCGGCUAACUACGUG